rnacentral:rRNA from 1 species
CCUACGGGAGGCAGCAGUAGGGAAUAUUGCUCAAUGGGGGAAACCCUGAAGCAGCAACGCCGCGUGGAGGAUGAAGGUUUUCGGAUUGUAAACUCCUUUUGUUAGAGAAGAUAAUGACGGUAUCUAACGAAUAAGCACCGGCUAACACCGUGCCAGCAGCCGCGGUAAUACGUAGGGUGCAAGCGUUACUCGGAAUCACUGGGCGUAAAGAGCGCGUAGGCGGGAUAGCAAGUCAGAUGUGAAAUCCUAUGGCUUAACCAUAGAACUGCAUUUGAAACUGUUAUUCUAGAGUAUGGGAGAGGUAGGUGGAAUUCUUGGUGUAGGGGUGAAAUGCGUAGAGAUCAAGAGGAAUACUCAUUGCGAAGGCGACCUGCUAGAACAUAACUGACGCUGAUGCGCGAAAGCGUGGGGAGCAAACAGGAUUAGAUACCCGGGUAGUC